CCUACGGGAGGCAGCAGUAAGGAAUAUUGGUCAAUGGAGGCAACUCUGAACCAGCCAUGCCGCGUGCAGGAAGAAGGCCCUAUGGGUCGUAAACUGCUUUUGUACCAGAGAAAACCACAGUACGUGUACUGUGUUGAUAGUAUGGUAAGAAUAAGCAUCGGCUAACUUCGUGCCAGCAGCCGCGGUAAGACGAAGGAUGCAAGCGUUAUCCGGAUUCAUUGGGUUUAAAGGGUGCGUAGGCGGACUGAUAAGUCAGUGGUGAAAUCUCUCAGCUUAACUGAGAAACUGCCAUUGAUACUGUUAGUCUAGAGUAUAGAUGACGUUGGCGGAAUAUGACAUGUAGUGGUGAAAUACUUAGAUAUGUCAUAGAACACCGAUUGCGAAGGCAGCUAACGAAACUAUAACUGACGCUGAGGCACGAAAGUGCGGGGAUCAAACAGGAUUAGAUACCCUGGUAGUCCGCACCGUAAACGAUGAUUACUCGUUGUUGGCAAUAUGACCGUCAGCGACCAAGCGAAAGCGAUAAGAAUCCACCUGGGGAGUACGCCGGCAACGGUGAAACUCAAAUGAAAUUGACGGCGNGAGAGNGCGAGGACGACACGAGGGGAGGAGG
rnacentral:rRNA from 1 species